UACGGCCGUAUCACGUUGAAACACCGGUUCUCUUACGAUCACUGAAGUUAAGCGACAUCGAGCCUGAUCAGUACCUAGAUGGGUGACCCCUUGGGAAUAUAAGGUACUGUAAG